rnacentral:rRNA from 1 species
UACGAAGGGGGCUAGCGUUGUUCGGAUUUACUGGGCGUAAAGCGCACGUAGGCGGAUCGAUCAGUCAGGGGUGAAAUCCUGGAGCUCAACUCCAGAACUGCCUUCGAUACUGAGAGUCUUGAGACCGGAAGAGGUAAGUGGAACUGCGAGUGUAGAGGUGAAAUUCGUAGAUAUUCGCAAGAACACCAGUGGCGAAGGCGGCUUACUGGUCCGGAUCUGACGCUGAGGCGCGAAAGCGUGGGGAGCAAACAGG